UGUCAACUGGUUGUUGGGUNNUUCANCUGACUCAGUAACGAAGUUUAACGCGUGAAGUNGACCGCCCUGGGGAGUACGNCCGCAAGGUUGAAANUCAAAGGAAUUGACGGGGACCCGCACAAGCGGUGGAUGAUGUGGUUUAAUUCGAUGCAACGCGAAAAACCUUACCCACCUUUGACAUGUACGGAAGUCGCUAGAGAUAGCUUCGUGCUCGAAAGAGAGCCGUAACACAGGUGCUGCAUGGCUGUCGUCAGCUCGUGUCGUGAGAUGUUGGGUUAAGUCCCGCAGACGAGCGCAACCCUUGUCAUUAGUUGCUACAUUUAGUUGGGCACUCUAAUGAGACUGCCGGUGACAAACCGGAGGAAGGUGGGGAUGACGUCAAGUCAGCAUGGCCUUUAUGUCUGGGGCUACACACGUGCUACAAUGGCAGAUACAAACCGUCGCGAGACCGCCAAGGUGGAGCUAAUCGGAGAAAGUCUGUCUCAGUUCGGAUUGUCGGCUGCAACUCGCCGGCAUGAAGUUGGAAUCGCUAGUAAUCGCGGAUCAGCACGCCGCGGUGAAUACGUUCCCGGGCCUUGUACACACCGCCCGUCACAUCACGAAAGCCGGUUGUACUAGGAGUCGCCACACCAACCCGCACAGGGAGGGAGGCGCCUAAGGUAUGGUCGGUGAUUGGGGUGAAGUCGUAANCAAGGUACC
rnacentral:rRNA from 1 species